rnacentral:lncRNA from 1 species
CACUCUUUUUUUUACUUCCUUUCUUACCAGACAAAUAUGAAGAGCAAGACCGAGAGAGAGACCAAGCCACAUCUCUUUCACCUCAGUACUCAAACAAGAGGGAGAAAAGGAAAUAUUUCUGAUUUCCUCCCUACUACCAGUUGCAUCCGAGAGAGUGAGGAAGAGAGAGUUAGACAGUCGUGAGCUGCAUUUCCAGCUUGUAACCUUAAAAACGUGAGCCAAAAGAAGGUACAAAGAGGAGUCUGGUGCAGUUGGGAACUGAAGCAGAAAACCAUACGUGCAGUCUGCAAUUUUUCAAACUUUAGGAGGGAAGAAGAGGUACGUGACUGCAAUAACCUUCAUCUUAUCUGGUAUAACUGAUUUUCUAGGUUGCAUGCUGAACUUUAGUAAAGAAAAUGAGUUCCUAGCUAAGGUAGAGUUCUGUUUUGAAGAAGUUACUGUCGGACAGAAAGGAAGAGAACCGAGAGUUGUUGUUGCAGCCAUAAAUAUAGUAAACUUUCUGUAAUAACCCCCUAACCAUCUAGUAUACUUGAUUACACUUGAAUAAUCACUGUGGUAUGCUGGAUUUUGGUUACGAAAGAAAAGAAGAGUGUAGCUGAAGGGAGAACCUGUUUAGAGAGGUUAUCUGCUGAAAUCUUUUCAGCACUGUCCGAGAAAAAAAAAAACUUAUCAUGCGAUUAUUAAUCGAAUGCAUGGAGUAAUUUUCUGCUAGAGGCUCAAACUAUAUGUUCUUACCUUGUCUUACCUGAAAACCUGGAGUGGAGUUGAUAACUUGAGUGAAAAUCCUGCUUAGCUGACCGAGAUAAGAACUAGGAAAUUUUCCAGGUUUCCUUAUAGAUUUUUGGGUUCCAAACACCUACGUUGAGACUUAAUCCAUGGUAUAGUAUUCUAAUCUUAGCAUGCAUGUUAGAUUCGAGUAUAUAAUGAAGUAAUGAAUGGAGAAAUUCUUGUUUAAAAACUGCUUGCUGUCCAAAAUCCAUCAUGUUCGAAGGAAGAAACAAGUUCUCAUCAGGUUUUCCUUUGAAGUUUUAACUGUAAACUUUAAGCGUGCUGGUUAAGGCUGUUCUGCAGCUUGAGAGUUAUCUUUUGUACGAUGAGGUGGAGUUGAAACGGAAGAAAUUAUGGGAGGAAGUGUUGUAUGUUCCACUGCUCCAUACCUGACAGAUUUAGGAUGACAGAUUUUGUGCAUGGUUUGGACGAACCAUCUGCUACAAUUAAAUGUUUCUUAUCCUAAUCCAUGUUAGAUCAAAUGUAUGUUAAGUAUUUGGCGCUUUAAUCAAGUGAAAAAUGAAAUUCUAGGCCGAAAGCUUGAAGUAAUAUUGCUGAAUUUACGUGGAUUGGUUGAAUGGUAAUUAAUGAGUUAAGACUUAUUUGAUGUUUUAGAAACUCCAAGGUAAUUUGUUAUGGCUAUAUACAUGAAAUGGCUCCUAAUUACUUAAAUUGGUUUCUAAUUACUUAAUAUUGUCUUCACAAAUAUUUUAAAGACUAUAAAAUUUGAGAGGCUAGUAUAGUGAAAUAAAAUUUAAAGCGCACACAACUUAGACCUUGGCUUGUUAAAAGGAGAACCAAUGGAGUGUUCCUAAGCUUGCAUCUUAGGGAUUUGGAGUGGAAAAUAGGUUACAGUUAAUGUAAAUACCUAUAAGAUUAUAACCAUAGAACAUAUGUAUAAUUCUUGGUUCAAAUGAUAAAAUUAAUAAGUUUCAAAAUAAAAUGUAGGAUAAACAGUGAAUAGAGAAUAUAUUUGUAUUUCAAGGUCAAACUUGAUUUUAAUAGUUUAAAUAAUAAUGUAAGAAUGAUAAAUGAGCAUCUACAGAUUAUAUAUUUACCUUGAAAUUAUUAACUUGUCUCAGGAAAUAGCUGUGAGCCAGGAAACAGACCCGAGGCUCGAGAAUAAAUUAUUUGGAUAAUUGGUGAGUGUUCCUUGUUUGUUAUAUUUUCCUUGACUACAUGGCUUAUUGUGAAUAUUUGAUAAUGUGUUAAGUGCUCUCAAUGAUUGCCAAAAGAGUUUUCUAGGCGAGCGUGUACUUUAUCACACUCGACCUAAAUGAUUGUGACAUUUUCAAUGAUUGAACGAUUGAAACGUUACUUGUGCAUGAAUGUAAGCCUUUUGGCUGAAUUGGGCCCUGCCUUUCGUUACUGAUCGACUUGAGCCAGAAGCGGAUUCGGUCGGGCGAUAUGGUGACCCUGGGUGAAUGUUUGGUAUACUCGAGUAUUACCUUGAAGUCUGGUGGAGCCUGGCCAACGUCCAGGAGGGGUGAAUGAAAUGAAUGAACGAAUGUCAAUGCGAACUACUUACAAAAAUGCAUUUUUAAAUGAUUGGAGGAAUAAGGGAAUGAAAGGAGAAUGAAUGAAUGAACGAAUGAAUGAAUGGCUCCUCGUGAGCACGUAUCCUUUUAAUGAAUGUGUUACUAUCGCUUUAUAUUGAACAUGUUUCUUGCCUCAUUGUAUGACUUAUUGUUUGGUUAUCGCUUUCAAUGAACUUAUUGGUUGAUUAUGUGUUCCGAACCUCACUGAGCUUUUAAACUCAUUCAUUUAGUUUUGUUUUCCUUAACAGGGGAAGGCAAGUAAGGACGAGAGCUCUGUAUAUAUAGACUUGCUUAGUCUAGAUCUUUGAAUUUUGUAAUGGUUCUCGCCCUAGCCUUGACACGGGCUGGAUGUAUGAAGAAUUGAGAACCUUUGUACUCUUGAAUUUGUACUCCCUUUUGAGAUAGAAAUGUAUAUAAGUUUCGCGUUAAGUUUUGGAUUUCGAACUUGCUUUA